rnacentral:rRNA from 1 species
AGUGAACGCUGGCGGUAGGCCUAACACAUGCAAGUCGAACGGCAGCACAGUAAGAGCUUGCUCUUACGGGUGGCGAAUGGCGGACGGGUGAGGAAUACAUCGGAAUCUACUUUUUCGUGGGGGAUAACGUAGGGAAACUUACGCUAAUACCGCAUACGAUCUACGGGUGAAAGCAGGGGAUCUUCGGACCUUGCGCAAUUGAAUGAGCCGAUGUCGGAUUAGCUAGUUGGCGGGGUAAAGGCCCACCAAGGCGACGAUCCGUAGCUGGUCUGAGAGGAUGAUCAGCCACACUGGAACUGAGACACGGUCCAGACUCCUACGGGAGGCAGCAGUGGGGAAUAUUGGACAAUGGGCGCAAGCCUGAUCCAGCCAUACCGCGUGGGUGAAGAAGGCCUUCGGGUUGUAAAGCCCUUUUGUUGGGAAAGAAAAGCAGCAGGUUAAUACCUCGCUGUUCUGACGGUACCCAAAGAAUAAGCACCGGCUAACUUCGUG